rnacentral:rRNA from 1 species
GACGAACGCUGGCGGCGUGCUUAACACAUGCAAGUCGAACGGACCCUUUGGGGUUAGUGGCGAACGGGUGAGUAACACGUGGGUGAUCUGCCCUGCACUUUGGGAUAAGCCUGGGAAACUGGGUCUAAUACCGGAUAGGACUACGCACUGCAUGGUGUGUGGUGGAAAGCUUUUGCGGUGUGGGAUGGGCCCGCGGCCUAUCAGCUUGUUGGUGGGGUGAUGGCCUACCAAGGCGACGACGGGUAGCCGGCCUGAGAGGGUGACCGGCCACACUGGGACUGAGAUACGGCCCAGACUCCUACGGGAGGCAGCAGUGGGGAAUAUUGCACAAUGGGCGCAAGCCUGAUGCAGCGACGCCGCGUGAGGGAUGACGGCCUUCGGGUUGUAAACCUCUUUCGCCAGGGACGAAGCGCAAGUGACGGUACCUGGAGAAGAAGGACCGGCCAACUACGUGCCAGCAGCCGCGGUAAUACGUAGGGUCCGAGCGUUGUCCGGAAUUACUGGGCGUAAAGAGCUCGUAGGUGGUUUGUCGCGUUGUUCGUGAAAACUCACAGCUUAACUGUGGGCGUGCGGGCGAUACGGGCAGACUGGAGUACUGCAGGGGAGACUGGAAUUCCUGGUGUAGCGGUGGAAUGCGCAGAUAUCAGGAGGAACACCGGUGGCGAAGGCGGGUCUCUGGGCAGUAACUGACGCUGAGGAGCGAAAGCGUGGGGAGCGAACAGGAUUAGAUACCCUGGUAGUCCACGCCGUAAACGGUGGGUACUAGGUGUGGGUUUCCUUCCUUGGGAUCCGUGCCGUAGCUAACGCAUUAAGUACCCCGCCUGGGGAGUACGGCCGCAAGGCUAAAACUCAAAGGAAUUGACGGGGGCCCGCACAAGCGGCGGAGCAUGUGGAUUAAUUCGAUGCAACGCGAAGAACCUUACCUGGGUUUGACAUGCACAGGACGCCGGCAGAGAUGUCGGUUCCCUUGUGGCCUGUGUGCAGGUGGUGCAUGGCUGUCGUCAGCUCGUGUCGUGAGAUGUUGGGCUAAGUCCCGCAACGAGCGCAACCCUUGUCUCAUGUUGCCAGCACGUUAUGGUGGGGACUCGUGAGAGACUGCCGGGGUCAACUCGGAGGAAGGUGGGGAUGACGUCAAGUCAUCAUGCCCCUUAUGUCCAGGGCUUCACACAUGCUACAAUGGCCGGUACAAAGGGCUGCGAUGCCGUGAGGUGGAGCGAAUCCUUUCAAAGCCGGUCUCAGUUCGGAUCGGGGUCUGCAACUCGACCCCGUGAAGUCGGAGUCGCUAGUAAUCGCAGAUCAGCAACGCUGCGGUGAAUACGUUCCCGGGCCU